GUGUGUGUGUGUGUGUGUGUUUGUGUGUGUGUGUGUGUGUGUGUGCUUGUUUUCAUGAUUUAUGAGGACACAAAUUUGUAUAAUGACAUGGUUACACUGGUAUUAUGACGUAAACAUGAAAUAUGAGGACAUUUCAUGAGUCCUUAUAUUUAAAAUAGCUUUAAAAACAUACUAAACAAUGUUUUAUUAAAAAUGUAAAAAUGCAGAAUGUUUUCUGUGAUGGGUAGGUUUAGGGGUAGGGGUAGUGUAGGGGGAUAAAAUGUACAGUUUGUACAGUUGUACAGUAUAAAAACCAUUAUGCCUAUGGAAUGUCCUCACAAAGAUAGCAAAACAAACCUGUGUGUGUGUGUGUGAAAUACAAUAGGAUAAUCUUUGAAGAAAGCUUCAAAAAACACCAUAAAACACUAUAAAAACACCAGCUGAACACCAAGUAGUCCACAUGACUUAUGUGCUAUGUUACGGGUCAAAAGAUAAUGAUGAUGAUAAUGUGAGCAACAAAUUGAAAUUUUGUUUAUUAUUCACUGAAAAUCUUAUUAAACUUUUUUUUUUUUUUUUUUUUUUUUUAAUCAGGAUGUUGGAGGUUCUUGUUUGAUGAGAAUCUGUGAGUGGGAUACGGAUCAAUGAAGCCCAUGCAGAUCGGAUCAAUUCCAAUUAGCUAUCCUGUAUUGCAAGGCCACUAAGCAGCUGGACAUUUUAAUCACAUAUCUCAAAGUGGCCGACCUGAAAGUGACCUCUAAAAAAAGAGUGAUGGACGUGGGGAACAGCGGGAAGCCUUCUGCCAGUCCACUCAACCUUGGCACAAUAAUUUCUCUGUCUCACAGACAGAUCCAGACUACUCAAUUUACAUGUUUUUAAUAUUUAGUGAGAGUUUACAGAGACGUUGUGCUGGUGGUUGCUGCAGCUUUUAUAACAUAACAUGUACAGCGAUGCUCUUAGCAGAUGCAUUCCUAUCAAAACGUUUUUACAAGAAAGUGCCUCUGUCAUGUUUGUGAAUAUUAUGUGUGUUGUGUUUUGGAAACACUCUGUAGGUCCAGUACUAAGAGUAAAAUGUCCAUGCUUAUUUAGCUGAUAUACAAUAGACAUAAUAAUAAUGACAUUUGCACUUGCUUACAUUUUAAGAGACAAUGGUAUUUGAAUUUAAGUGUCAAGUUUUCCAUCUUAUGUUAUUUAGCAUUUAUUUAUUGGUUGUGACUAAUUUAUAUACAGAAUACAGAUACUGAAUAUUAAUUAUUUGCAAUUUAUUGUGUUUUUUAAUUAUUUCUGUAUCAUAUCUUAAUGGAAAUGUCAUUUAUAUGAAGCAAAAGAAGAUUGAAACAACAAUUGAAACUGCACUGCACUUCAACAGCUUCUGCUUACACAUCUAAAGGCUGCUUAUUGAAGGUAAACCUUUCUUUUUCUUUCUUUAUUCUUCCUUCCUUCCUUUCUUCUAUCCCUAUAAUUUCCCUCUUUAACCCCUCGUUGUUCUUUUACCUCAUCUCGUGUUUUCCUCUCUUUCUGUUAUCACUGCCUAAUCAGGUUGUUCCGAUACUGACCUUUCUGCUGCCACAGUCCACAGCACAAUCAUCAAUGGACACGAAUCAGUAAUUAAAGCACAUACACACAAACGGAAACACCAUCAUUAAAUGCUUAUUAAACUUUUAUGUGCUACAUUCAUGAUGUGAAAGGAAGACAAGAAAUGAAGAGUACUGCUUACCACCAUGCGCACACACACACACACACACACACACACACACACCAAGUCAGAGUGGGAGGUGAAUGACUCAACAUCAUAUCAGACAGCUGUGACUUCAGAGGUCUGUAGUCAUGUUGCUUUACUUGGCAGGGAGGUGAUUUGUCAGCCCUCAAUUAUUACACACAAUAAAGGCGAGCUUAUUACCAUCCAUCUUCUCAUCCCUUCACCUUUAAGCUGCGGAGACCAGAAUAGAUGUAAAUGGGGUUUAGAAGUCUGAGAGCUCUAAAAACGCUUGUAUUUUGCAUUCUUAUAUUAUAUAUUUUUACAUUUUAAAUUAAAGUUACCAAUUACCAUGAA